UACAGAGGUCCCAAGCGUUGUUCGGAUUCACUGGGCGUAAAGGGUGCGUAGGUGGUGAGGUAAGUCGGAUGUGAAAUCUCCGGGCUCAACCCGGAAAUGGCAUUAGAAACUACCUUGCUGGAGGAUUUGAGGGGGGAUUGGAAUACUUGGUGUAGCAGUGAAAUGCGUAGAUAUCAAGUGGAACACCAGUGGCGAAGGCGAAUCCCUGGAAAAUACCUGACACUGAGGCACGAAAGCUAGGGGAGCAAACAGG
rnacentral:rRNA from 1 species